rnacentral:tmRNA from 1 species
GGGGACGUUUUGGAUUAGACAGGAUGUUUUGGUGGUAAUAUGCAGCGGGUCGGAGCGCUGUUCUCCGUCAUCAACGAGCAAAACAAAUUAAGUGCUAACAAUGUAAGAAAAGUAGACUUUGCACAAGCUUAUGCUUUAGCUGCCUAAGUCUAUAUUAGCCACUCACAUAGCCCAGCUUGCCGGUUAUGUGGGUCCAUUAUGCAAGCGGCAGUGUAUUGAUACAAAGUAGAUACAUCAAGAUGACUUUGUAAGGUUUAGAGUUUCCUUUAAAUAAAACCUUGGGCUGAUUUGUAUGGUUUAGCCAUUUUCCUGAAUCAGUUGAGCAAAAAAUGGGCUACACUCGUAGAAGUAUGUUGUCAUCCGUUUUGGACGUGGGUUCGACUCCCACCGUCUCCACCA